GGUAAGGCGGCGUGGAGGAAGGUCGAGGCGGAGGCUGAGUUACGACGUUGCUUUUGAGAUGGAGAGUGUCACCAGCAUGCAUUAAUGAAUAACUGAGCCUCUUCUACAUGUCAAGCCCUGGGCCAGGCCUGGAAAUCCAAAGAUACCCAGAACAGGAUCCCUGCCUCAAGCAAGUGCCUGACUCAAGCUUUGAUUGUUGAGACAUCCUCUUCAAAGAGGCAUCCACUUCAAAGAUGGUGAUCUCAAGUAAACAGCCAGCCUCAC